AUGAGGACGCUUUUUAUCUGCAGCUUCCAAAUUUAUAAUCUGUAUCGCUCAAAGCUUUUUAACUUGAUGCGUUGAAGCAUAGUAGCCAUGUUCUUUUUACUCUUUUUAUUCCACAAUGUAAAACAUAUUCUUAUGCGUUUUUAUGCGUUUCCUUUCUUCAUUUUAAUUCGACUGCACAUUUGGGCCCAUAAUCUAUGAGGUUAUGACGAAGAAAAUGAUUGUAUGUGAUGGAAUAACACUUAAAAACUUGAUGCAUAUGACAUAUGAAUACUAUAGAGAGUAUUUUUUUGAUCAACUCAUCUUAAAUUGAUUUGCAACAAAAAAGAAACUACAGAGGGUCGCCACGUGUUCGUAUUAGUCACGUCAUUAGAGUCUUGUUUGUCACUCUAGGCACGAAUUAUUUUUAGAUUCUUGACAGCAGGUUAUCUAGAAUUACUACAUGGCGAGGCUGAUGGUGUAGAAUGAUAUAAAAUAUUCAUUACCUAAUGAUAUAAUUUCCAACACUGUCAAUUCAUUUCCAUUUGCUUUUAUAACUGCAGUUGCAUUUGAUUCUAAAAACAUCUAAGAAUUCGAAGAAACAUUCACAGUUAUUUGAAGAAUAUUGUAAUUUUCCUCAUUAUGUAGGAGAAUCAGAUGGAAAACACAUAGCAAUAAAAGCUUCUCCAAGUACUAUCAGCUACUACUAUAAUUAAAAAGAAUUCAAUAGUAUACAACUAAUGGAAUUUCUUGACGUAAAUCAUGUGUAAAUCUUGACGUAAUCUAAUGAAAAAGUUUCUAAUAGAAAUGUAUCCAAGAAUUUUAUUGGAUACUUUAUUAAAUAAUAAUAAUUCACUAAAUUUUCCUGCUGCAGUACAUUUAUCUGAACAUAAGAAAUGUUUACUCCAUGUCAUUGUUGCUGAUGAUGUGUUUACCAUGAAAACUUAUUUAUUAUUAUACUCUUUUUGUAUAAUAACCUGCACCGAAUUGUGUAUUUAAUUAUCGUUUCUUGAGAGCUAGACAAAUUAUAGAAAACGUAUUUGAUCUUAUUAUUAAUCUAUUUAGUAUUUCAAGUAAACCACUAAAACUUUUUACAAAAAAAUCACUUUUAGUGUUAGCAUUAACGUAUAACACACUUUUCUUCUGACACAAGAAAAUAAAUUGUAUGCAACACCAAAUACUUUUAAUAGAGAUGAGGAGCAUGAGAAAUGGAUAAUUUUUGAAAUGACAAAAUCGUACUUAUUAGAAUUAAAAAGAGAACAAGCUCAUAAAUAUGCAGAAAUUUCUUAAGUGUACAAAACAAAUUUACAAACUAUUUUCUUUCCCCACAUGUAGAAAUACAUUAAAUAUAAUGUAUAUUAAUAUAUGAUAUAACGAUAUAAACAUAUAUAAAAAUAU